rnacentral:lncRNA from 1 species
AAGAACCUCCUGAUGCCCAGAGUCUGCCUUGCUCAUCGGCAGAGCUUAAAGAAAAGAUGGAGAGAUGUGGA